UAGAUGCGAGAGUAGAGCAUAUCAAUAAGCGGAGGAAAAGAAACUAACAAGGAUUCCCCUAGUAACGGCGAGUGAAGCGGGAAGAGCUCAAAUUUGAAAUCUUAAAGGGUUUCCCUUUACGAAUUGUAGUUUAAAGAAGUGUUUUCUGUUGGAGUUUCGGUAAAAGUUCUUUGGAAUAGGACAUCAUAGAGGGUGAGAAUCCCGUAUUUGACCGUUACUUUCCAGCUGUGUGAUACACUUUCAAAGAGUCGGAUUGUUUGGGAAUGCAGUCCAAGAUGGGUGGUAAAUUUCAUCUAAAGCUAAAUACUGGCGAGAGACCGAUAGCGAACAAGUACCGUGAGGGAAAGAUGAAGAGAACCUUGAAAAGAGAGUUAAACAGUACGUGAAAUUGUCAAAAGGGAAGCGUUUGACACCAGUGUUGUUUUUCCGAAAAUCAAUUACGAAUGUUUUAUUUUUGAGGAGUUAUGACUUCAUCGGCUUGCUCCUUUCUUUAUGAAACUUUCUUAAUGCACUUUUCGGUUAACAAGUCAACAUCAAUUUCUUUUGUUGUAAAAGGGUAUGAGGAAGGUGGCCUUCUUUUCGGAGAAAGUGUUUAUAGCCUUGUGCCUCUGCAAUCGGAGAGAUUGAGGUCUGCAGCGUAGAUCCUUCGGGGUUAGAUACGUUUGUGCUAAGUUAUAGCUUUUCAUAGACAACUUGUUGACUAUGAUUUAAGUCAUUGUAGCUUACUCGCUUAUGGCUAUUUUACCUACGCUUAGGAUGUUGACGAGACUGUCGAUCUC
rnacentral:rRNA from 1 species